rnacentral:lncRNA from 1 species
CGUAAAUGCAAUCAUCAAUAAAUGAUAAUACUCUAAUGUCUUCAGAGAAACACUUUACAAGGAACCUAAACUACUCAAAUGGCAGAUUUUUUUUAAGGACAUUCAAGGGAAAAAACCUCCUCCAACCAUAAAAUUGUUAUCUCAAUCUGAACGGCUUUUAAUAGUUUUAAUAAGAGAAUUAUCUCAGUAAGAAAAAACUUGAAGUUUAGCAGUUAUGAAUGUUACAUCUUUUGGCUUUUGGUUUGGC